AGGUGUGUCAACUCAAAGAAUUUUUCUAUCGAAACCAAGUAUAUUUUCAACUUCGAUGUAGACAGAAAUCUUUAUGUGAUGCUGACCUCAAAGCGUACAAAGCCAGCCACAAUCCUGCAAUUGGUAAAAGAGCAGCCGUACAAGUGUGUUCAGCAUGCUGUGAAGGAAAUCGAUGUAACCAAGGAGGAUGUCAGGUGCUAGUUAAAAAUCAAACAUGUUAUGACAAGGCGAUCUGUGGAUAACCGUUUGAUAACUUUAAAUGAUAUACAAAAGAUAUUAAUAAAAAAAAACUAAUUGAAGAUAUGGGGC